AUGAACGCUGGCGGCGUGCCUAAUCCAUGCAAGUCGAGCGAACGGACGAGAAGCUUGCUUCUCUGAUGUUAGCGGCGGACGGGUGAGUAACACGUGGAUAACCUACCUAUAAGACUGGGAUAACUUCGGGAAACCGGAGCUAAUACCGGAUAAUAUUUUGAACCGCAUGGUUCAAAAGUGAAAGACGGUCUUGCUGUCACUUAUAGAUGGAUCCGCGCUGCAUUAGCUAGUUGGUAAGGUAACGGCUUACCAAGGCAACGAUGCAUAGCCGACCUGAGAGGGUGAUCGGCCACACUGGAACUGAGACACGGUCCAGACUCCUACGGGAGGCAGCAGUAGGGAAUCUUCCGCAAUGGGCGAAAGCCUGACGGAGCAACGCGGCGUGAGUGAUGAAGGUCUUCGGAUCGUAAAACUCUGUUAUUAGGGAAGAACAUAUGUGUAAGUAACUGUGCACAUCUUGACGGUACCUAAUCAGAAAGCCACGGCUAACUACGUG
rnacentral:rRNA from 1 species